rnacentral:rRNA from 1 species
UGAGGAAUAUUGGUCAAUGGACGCAAGUCUGAACCAGCCAAGUCGCGUGAAGGAUGACUGCCCUACGGGUUGUAAACUUCUUUUGUAUGGGAGUAAAACGGGUUACGUGUAGCCUUUUGCAAGUACCAUACGAAUAAGCAUCGGCUAACUCCGUGCCAGCAGCCGCGGUAAUACGGAGGAUGCGAGCGUUAUCCGGAUUUAUUGGGUUUAAAGGGUGCGUAGGCGGUCUAUUAAGUCAGCGGUGAAAGUUUGAGGCUCAACCUUAAAAUUGCCGUUGAAACUGGUUGACUUGAGUAUAUUUGAAGUAGGCGGAAUUCGUGGUGUAGCGGUGAAAUGCAUAGAUAUCACGAAGAACUCCAAUUGCGCAGGCAGCUUACUAAACUAUAACUGACGCUGAGGCACGAAAGCGUGGGUAUCAAACA